CCAACCGAUGAACAGAGGUGGGAAGUAACCAAGUACAUUUACUUUAAUACUUUACUUAAGUGCAAUUUUGAGAUGCUUGUACUUUACUUGAGUAUUUCCAUGUUAUGCUACUUUGUACUUCUACUCCACUACAAUUCAAAGGUCAUUAAACCUUAGGGUCGAUGCAGUGACAGAAGGGGACUGUGCUGAAGAACUGCUUCAGCUCUCCAAACACACAGUUGAAGAAUAUUUUGUGGCACCACCAGAUUGCUUCAGCAGCUCGUUGGCCUUGGAGAAAUGGCUGCACCCGAAGAAUCCUCUAUGAACGGACAGUGGGGAAGGAUGCACCGCCUGCAGGACGUGGUGGCGUGUCUACAAACACAGAACACAAAGCAUGAACAUUUGACUCUGAUUUAUCCAGCUGUUUCAUUUUUCUUUUCUUAUGUCCUAUUUAUAAUAUGUUGCCAUACCUACACUGUAGCUCAGCUCCUGUGCAUAUGAUCAUUAAAACCCUUGAAAUGAA